rnacentral:rRNA from 1 species
ACGGGGCGCAGCAGGCGCGAAAACUUUACAAUGCGGGAAACCGCGAUAAGGGGAUACCGAGUGCCAGCAUAUUAUGUUGGCUGUCCACAUGUGUAAAACGGCAUGUGUUAGCAAGGGCCGGGCAAGACCGGUGCCAAGCCGCCGCGGUAACACCGGCGGCCCGAGUGGUAAUCAUUUUAUUGGGUCUAAAGGUCCGUAGCCGGUUUGAUCAGUUCUUCGGGAAAUCUGACAGCUCAACUGUUAGGCUUCCGGGGAAUACUGUCAGACUUGGGACCGGGAGAGGUAAGAGGUACUACAGGGGAAGGAGUGAAAUCUUGUAAUCCCUGUGGGACCACCAGUGGCGAAGGCGUCUUACCAGAACGGGUCCGACGGUGAGGGACGAAAGCUGGGGGCACGAACCGGAUUAGAUAUCCCGGGUAGUCCCAGCCGUAAACGAUGUUCGCUAGGUGUCAGGGACGGUGCGACCGUUUCUGGUGCCGUAGGGAAGCCGUGAAGCGAACC